rnacentral:rRNA from 1 species
GGGAUAUUGCACAAUGGGGGACACCCUGAUGCAGCGACGCCGCGUGGAGGAAGAAGGUUUUCGGAUUGUAAACUCCUGUCGUUAGGGACGAUAAUGACGGUACCUAACAAGAAAGCACCGGCUAACUACGUGCCAGCAGCCGCGGUAAUG